rnacentral:lncRNA from 1 species
AAAAAAAAAAAAAAGAGUCGAAAUAUUUUUUGCUCUGUUAAAAUAAUGAUGAACCCAAUUAAUUAGAUCAAAUAAAAAAUAUUAGCUUCACCAGGAAGUACAUCUUCACUAAUAUUAAAGAUUCAAUAUUUAUCUAAUAUAAGAAUAAAUAUAUAUUAAGUUGUAUCAAAAAAAUUAAAGUUAAAAUUUAAAUACCAAUUCAAUGACUAGGUUUAAUGUUACAUGGUUAAAAAACACAGCAUCUUAAAAUUCCCCUAAAGAAGUAAAAUUAGACAUCCCCCCGAGUAAAAUUCCUUCACCUAUAUCAGCAGGCACAGCAUUUUAUUUGCUAAUUUUACACAACUCAAUCGUUAGCUACAUUAGCCGGAAUGGAAUUGUCAAAAACAUCAAUGUCCACAAACUGCAACGCAGCACAGUUACAUAUAUGGAUUGGGGAAACCUUAAUGAUAAACACAAACUGCAUAUUAUCAUGUUACAUGUACACACCCCAUGAUACAGCAUUUCAAGACCUGAUUAAUCUUACCAUACAGCUCCAGGUCAUGUGUCAGUCUGCACCCAAACCCUGUAUCACAAACUAAAACUUUUUAUCAACAUUCUGGUAGAGAUCUAGCAGAGGCGAACGGAGAGAGAGUCCCUGCUGAUUCACUACAGCGCAGUGGAUGCAAGUUUUGACUAGAAGAGCUGACAAAAUUCGGUGAUGCAUUACUAGGGCUUGGUCUAUAUGGAGACAUAUAUCUUGUGUUAAGAGGAGAUAUAGAUGGAUAACCCAAUGAAUGUGGUGAUACCAAAUGUGAGGCAUAAGAUCUUUGUGAAGAUGCAUUUCUAAGAUCUGCUGAACUUCUGCUUACACUUAUAGGAGGAGAUUGCUGAUAAGAUCUGUGUGAUGAUUGAACGUAUGGAAUGCUGGUGUAUGAGUGAUUAUGAGAAAUUGAGGCAGACAGUGGUCCUGAUCCUAUUUGUAUAGCAGACGAUGAUGGUAUCGAAGACCUGAAUGAUGAUAAUGCAGAAGAAGCGACAGAGGCAGGGGUGGAAGAAAGCAACGGUGUGGAUUCUGAUGCUGGUGGAAGACCUGUGCUGGUUCUCGCAUCACGCUUGCAAACCGGACAAAAUGUUCUCCAUGUGGUAAGCCAAGAAUCAACGCAAAAAGCAUGAAAUUCUGUUAAAGGAACGCAUGAAAUAAAACAUUAGACAUUCUUUAUUUGAUCAAAUUAUACAAAGUUACUGCAGCCAGACUGAAGAAGCCAACAAAUCAUUCAUAAUUUGCUAAGAAAGAAAUUGAAUAUUGUAAAAAUAUGAAGUCCUAGAACUUCAACUGCUGCAGAUGCAAAGUCAUAUGCCUUUUCCAAAUAAGGAAUGGCACCAAUGCUGUUUGGGCAAGCUUUCCCAGGAGAACAUAACAUUAGUUUGCUACCGAUUUACAAUGGAUAGAUGGAGGUUACUGCAUACAAUUCGAGAUAUCUACGCAAUGUAAAAGAUCCUCAUCUAGGGAGAAUAGAGAUCUCAGCAAAAGAUUAAAAAAAAUGAAAAGAAUAGCUGACUGACUUCCAUGGCUCCAUCAAAGUGGAGGUGUUUUCAUCUUAACUUCAGUGGACAACUAAUUUUUUUAAUUAUAUGUGGACCAUUACCCCAUUGUCCACUGCCGGAAGUCUCAAUGUCCUACUAGUAAUUUCAGUGGAUGCAAACUGCAUCCUAACACUAGUCUAUUUCAAUGGCCAAUCCUUUGUUUCUUCUGCAAAUUGCCUUGUGACUUGAUAGACUAUACAGAACAGAACCAAUAAAUUAUCAUGCGGUCCAUAUGCAUACUGAAUUUCUGAAAGAAACUGCUUUUAGAUUAUGACAAUAAUGAUGGUGCACUAAAAUUUCAAGAAACUAAAAGAAUAAACACUUAUUCAAGCCCUUGCAAGACCAAAGGAUAGCAUAGUAUUUCCCAAUCCCAACCUUUGUCACACAUCCUCUAUCCUCCCUGCACUAGACCCACAAUCCCCAUCUCUGGAUAAUAUUUACCUGAUUAAACCAUUACCGGGAGGGAUUUUCUGCAUCAGGUUUCAGUUCGAUUUCUACAAUUUUCAUGACUUUCCCCAAUAAUACCCUGUUAGAACCAUAAGCACGAAACACAUUGAAUUGUUACUGUACCAUCAAGUUUUUCUUUUAAGUUCUCUUAACAAUUCAACAAGUAUGGGAAAUUCUGUUUCCAGGAAACAAAAAGAGGGGAAAAAAAAGAACCCUUCUAUGAGUUUGAAUCAUAACCUGCCACCUGCCAAUAGCUUAUAGCUCUGUCUUCAUAUAGACAGGCUUUUCUUCCCCAGUGGCAAGUAUGUUAUAUAGCUUCCUUAAUUUGCUGUUUCUUCCAUAUUAUAGAGGUCAAUAUGCACUACCAUCGAAGUUCCAAUUUUAACUUCAUCUCUUUUUAAUUUUGAUCGCAAACGAUAAGUUAUUUAGUUGAAUAAUGCCAAAAAAUGAACAUAUGUGCAAACUGCAAUACUGGUGGCUCUGUUCAAAAGAGAAUCCAGCCAGCACACCUGCAUGCAUGCACACAAACAAUCCUAACUAAUAGACUUCAUCAUGUUGCAAAUCAAUUUCACCUGAUAACAGUUAUAUACGUACAAGUCAUUUACUAGAUAGGAUACAGGGCAUACAAAAACAAAAUAUGCUGCCAGUCAUCAACAGGCAAAGGAAACCACCAUUUUAGUUAAACAAUUGCAAGAGUUUGAAUCAAUUUCAGAUAAAUUUAAAUAAAACCACACAAUAGAAACUUACUGUGGCAACAUGGUAGAACCCUAAGUUUCUCUCCAACACUAUAGUCUUCGAGGCAUAUAGCGCAAGUCAUCGAAGUACAAUUGUCUUCUAAAACAGCAGUAAAUAUCAGACUAGGCAUUGCUUUUACUAAGCGGCUGCUCAUUCCAUGGAAUUCUCUGACACGAGAAGAACGUGGACGUUCCCGUCUUAUGCGAUGCCUGCGAACGAAGAAGCAUGUAGCUAAUACUGCAGACAUAGCGAGUAAGGAAAUGAAAGAAAUCGCCAUGAUGGACCAUGCUGAGUUUUCAAAGCUUGGAAUUAGCCACAACUCCAUGUCAGGCAAACCGAUAUAGUUUUUGAGUGUUUCUCCAGAAGCCUUUGUAAUAAACACUGCACGAAUCUUUACGCCAGCUGAAUUUCCUGCCACUGGAUUUUUGCCCCCAUCAUAGUCAAGUUGCAGUUCAUAAUACUAUUUAAAAAAUAUAUCUACUCAAAGGACUUCAAAUAAUCAAUAGAACAAAUAGAGAAGAGACAGUUCAAAGAAAACUGUAGACUGCCCAUGGACAUAGAAUUCAUGUCUCUUUUCAUGGAGAACAGGACAUGUACCAUAANNNNNNNNNNNNNNNNNNNNNNNNNNNNNNNNNNNNNNNNNNNNNNNNNNNNNNNNNNNNNNNNNNNNNNNNNNNNNNNNNNNNNNNNNNNNNNNNNNNNNNNNNNNNNNNNNNNNNNNNNNNNNNNNNNNNNNNNNUCUAGCUAUAGAGAAAAACUUUCCAAACAAGGGGAAGGAUGCAUAAAAGAAGUUAAGAUAUUAAAGAGAGGAAAAAGGAAUAUACUUGCUACCAAUACACCAUUGUCUUCAUUGUCGUAGAUUAUAGCAGCUUUAAAUCCAGCCUUUUGUGCUCGUCUAACUUUCUCCUCGAAGCUACAGCCUCCUCUAAAAAUCAAUACAAAUGGGGAAGUAGUAUUUGAAACAUGUUCAACUUUAUUAGUCAAAUCCGAGCAAGCAUUAAUAGGCUCUGCCAAAUAUAGCACCCCACAUUCCCCUGAACCUUUAAUAGCUGGGGCUGAAACAACAAACACGGAAGUCAAGAAAAAACCUAACGUAUUACCACAUUUUACACUUGAAGCAUAUCUAAGUAGUAAAUUAUAUAGGCAUAAAUUCAUAUAUGUGCUAGACAAAGGUAACCAAAGCACAAAACACAUUCUACUACCAAAUGCUUACUUUCAUCAAACUCAUGUUGUUCUUCUCAUUUACCUUUAAAGGGUCAGAUAAGUGAAUUUGGCAAUAAAAAACUAAGAGUACUUGGUACAUGAAAUUUUUUUCUAAUUUUUAUUUUCUAAAUUUAUAUGUAUUUUACUCACAGAAACUAAUAACAUAGUUAACAAUAGUAAGAUUGACAAUCAAUGUGAGAAUUUUAAACGUUACAUUAGUGUUUUAUUAUAAAAAAAUAAAAAAAUAAAAAAAAAACAUAUUCUCAUUUGCGCUUAUUAUUAACAAUCACGCCCAUAAUAUAUUUUUAUGAAUAACGAAUAACAUAAUUUUACAAAUAGAGACGCAAAUAAACACACGAUUUUAGGAAAUAAGCACUAAAAAGUAUUUUUAGGAAAUAAAAAAAGUAAAAGUAUUUUCAUGAAAAGAGGCCUAGAACAGUCUACCUUCCUCGCUCUAUUCUUAUUCCCAAAAAACAAAGGUAACCUACAGAUUACUACAGAACCAAAGAACCAGUUCAUCAGUUUUCCCAUAAGAUAAUAAAAAUCCUAACAUGCAAUUAUAUUAUGCUAGACAAUACAAUCUCCAAUUUCUCAGCUCUUAUAUUAUACCAAACAAUCAAAAUUACAGAUCGAAACAUGAAAAGAAAUGGAGAGAACUUACAGAAAUUAGCUUCAAUGUCAUCGAAAGAAAGAGUAACAUUGUUCCCAAUUAACACUACGUUCGCCCAAGUCACCCAACAAAGGGUCAAUAGAUGUAGCAGCAGCAGCAAACCCGCAACCGGUUUCAUUAUUAUCGAAAUCAAAAUUUCAGACAAAAAAAAAAAAAGAAAAAAUCACAAAACCCUAAUUAAGCAGAGAAAAAAAGGGAACAUAAUAGAUUGCAGAGAGAGUGAGAGAAAGGAGACUUAUAUUAGGGUUGAAAGAGAACGGAUUGAUACAUCAGCUUCCAUCUGAGACAGUAAGAUAGAAUAUGUGAAUCUUCGAUUCAGGUUGAUGAUGAUUGUAAUUAUUCGGGGAUUUUGGGAAGAAGUUUUGAGGAAAUUUUAGGUGUAAGAGAGAGAGAGAGAGAGAUGGAGUUACUAUGUAAUAAAUCAAGUUGAUUGAUUGAUUGGUAAAUAUAUAAAAAAAAAAAUGUUUUGAUCAGAAGCCGCCAAAGAAGCUAAAUCAGCCAGAUGAAGUGAUUGUCUCCAUCAAAAAAAAAAUAAAAAAAAUAAAAUAUCCGAUUGGAUUGUUUAAAUAUUGAAAAAUAAAUUUCAUAUUUUUAUGGGUUUUUAAAAGUCUUAUCUUUAUUAUAGUAUUUAAUAUUUUAUAAAAAAUACAUAUAUAUAUAUAUAUAUAAUAUUAAAUUUUCCUUUUUCUACAGGAAAAUAUCUCAACGUCAAAGUACGGACACAGAUGCUUGAUUUUUCUCUUAGCCCUAAAAUAGUCAAUAGAUUGGCAUGUCUUCUUCUUCUAUUGACCGACAGACAUAAAUAUGUUAUUCCAUUAAAAACUUGAUAAAUUUCAUUUCUAAUAGAAAUCACUGAUUCUAUAGAUUUUAAAUAGUUUAUAUAAUUAAAUUUCAUUUGAGAUGGAUAUAAUAAUUCAAUUCGGAAUCCCAAUGAAUAUGGACCAUCUUCUUCUAUCAAAUCUUUUUUUUUUUUUUUUUUUCGGACUUGCAGAUUGCGUACGAACACAUGCGAUUAUGGGCAGCUCAAGAAAAAUUUAUGGCUAAUUUUUAGUCUAGUACAAGUUUGUUAGCUUUCUUCUGUCAAAAUUUAACUUUAAUUAAAUAGAAAUUAAUUUAUGAACAAGAAGAUAACAUGAUAUAUAUAUAUAUAUAUGUGUGUGUGUGUCUCUCUCUCUCUCCAGCCUUUACAGAAGAUGAUCAUGCAUCUGUACAACUUCUUCUUGAAAUUAAAACUAGCGAUUAUUAUAUAGUUUUUCUUCUAAUGAAUAAUUGCAGAAGUAGCGGUCGACGAAUAAAAGGAGAAAUUAAAAAUCUGUCCUGAAGAGGAGUGGUUGAAGCGAUGGAAGCAGAGAAGUUGCAGAGACGAGGGCAGCCGAUUCAAUGGAAGAGGGGUGUUCGACUCCAAAAGCCUUUCUUUUUUUAAAAAAAAUUUUAAUGAUGGUGGACUUUAAAGAAUCAUCAUUUUCAUAUCCCUUAAUUUGAGCAAAUUAAAAGGAAAAAAAAAAAGAAAAAGAAACAAUUGAAAAGAAAGAGAAAUAUUUAUCCACUAGAACUUUAAAUCAUUAUAUGAUACCCCAUCAAAUAAACAAAGAGGAAACACGUAGUGAUGACCUACCACUAUGUAUGUGCUC